GAUGAACGCUGGCGGCGUGCUUAACACAUGCAAGUCGAACGAAGCGAUUUAGCGGAAGUUUUCGGAUGGAAGCUAGAUUGACUGAGUGGCGGACGGGUGAGUAACGCGUGGGUAACCUGCCUCACACUGGGGGACAACAGUUAGAAAUGACUGCUAAUACCGCAUAAGCGCACAGGAUCGCAUGGUCCGGUGAUCAAAGGAGCAAUCCGCUGAAAGAUGGGCUCGCGUCCGAUUAGAUAGUUGGUGAGGUAACGGCUCACCAAGUCGACGAUCGGUAGCCGGACUGAGAGGUUGAACGGCCACAUUGGGACUGAGACACGGCCCAGACUCCUACGGGAGGCAGCAGUGGGGAAUAUUGCACAAUGGGCGAAAGCCUGAUGCAGCAACGCCGCGUGAGGGAAGACGGUUUUCGGAUUGUAAACCUCUGUUUUCGGUGACGAACAAAUGACGGUAACCGAGUAGGAAGCCACGGCUAACUACGUGCCAGCAGCCG
rnacentral:rRNA from 1 species